GACGAACGCUGGCGGCGUGCUUAACACAUGCAAGUCGAACGGAAAGGCCCUGCUUUUGUGGGGUGCUCGAGUGGCGAACGGGUAAGUAACACGUGAGUAACUUGCCCUUGACUUUGGGAUAACUUCAGGAAACUGGGGCUAAUACCGGAUAGGAGCUCCUGCUGCAUGGUGGGGGUUGGAAAGUUUCGGCGGUUGGGGAUGGACUCGCGGCUUAUCAGCUUGUUGGUGGGGUAGUGGCUUACCAAGGCUUUGACGGGUAGCCGGCCUGAGAGGGUGACCGGCCACAGUGGGACUGUGAGACGGGCCAGAGUCCUACGGGGGGGAGAGGUGGGGAGUAUAGCGCAAUAGGCGGAAGCCUGAGACAGCGACGCCGCGUGCGGGAGAACGGCCUUCGGGUGGUAAACCGCGUUCGCCUGUGACGAAGCGUGAGUGACGGUAAUGGGUAAAGAAACACCGGCUAACUACGUG
rnacentral:rRNA from 1 species